CAGGAAGCUUCCUUUGAUUGGCGUCCAGUGUCCCGUCUGCCGUGCCUUGGGCUCAGCUCCUCGCAUCGGGAAGAGAGAGCAUCCCAGGGGUCCUGAGCAGACAGCUGGUUAUCAUCCUGCUGAGGCCCAGGGGUCUCCUCGCGGAGGUGUCUUUCUAUGGAUGGAGAGAAGAUUCCUACCAGAGGAGAGAAUGAAGAAUUUGGAGCUGACACCGUGAGGCACUGGGGCCAUGGAAAGAGGCGCACGGAGAACUCUUGGGGGCGGGGGAGUUUCAGGGAUGGAGUAGAGGUAGCUAUUUAAAACAUUCAGAAACACAGUCUGUCCCUACCAAUGGUGAAAAUGGGAUUAAUGUUUGCUGGUCAGACAAACGGGCUGGUCUGGGGGACUCUGCCCUGGCGCCUGUCCUGCUCCCGUCCUGCUGCAUGCGGGCUGGUUCUACACACAGCAGUGCUGGUUGACUUCGAGUUCAGCCCUAAUUCCAGAGAUGUGUCUUGUCUUGGUCCUUCCCUACGUCCAUGUGGCCUGUCUGUCUGCUGCCUCGACCUUUGGUCUCAUUGAGGACUAACGAACCAGGACCCUUCCUUGAUCCCCUCCUCGCUGCGGCUCACACCCCGCCCAGACUAGUUUUUGUGUCUCCCACCAGGGUCUUUGCUUAGCAAGUGAUUCUGUAUGAAGCCCACCUUUUAAUUUCAACCCCUCAUUCUCUGUGGGUCCCACCAAGAUGUCUAAAAACAGCCAAAGAAGGGCUGUUUAGUUGCUGCCUUUAAAAAUGGCACUGAAGUGUGCAGAUUCCCCGUCCGUCAGAUGACCUAUUUUUCUGCAGUGGGAGGAAUGGCUUCAUUCUUUAGUACAUUCCUCGCCGAGGUUAGCAGCUCUGGAAGGAGACACAGCCUGUGGUUAUGAAACCAUCUUGCGGCAUAAUAACAAGAGAUGGUAACACACGCGGGGGAUUUCUCUUCCUAUAGUCCGGACGAGGAACUCUACCUGGGGAACCAAGCUGGUGCUUCCAUCCGUGUAUCCCUAAUUAGAGCAGAAACAGAAGGUAAAUACUAUUCCCAGCUAGAGGGAGUUUGUAGAAGGAAUGAAACCGUUAACCCUGAAAGAGCUGAAAUGAGCAGGACUGUUUUUGCUUUGCACACUGUGGGCUUGUUAUAAUUCGUAAGUACUGACUGUCCGACUCCAAAUGUCAGAGUGGAAGAAUUUGGUCUGACUGUCAGAUACUCAUCUUGUCCCUGCCAAAGAUCUGAGUCCUUGGAAACCUCUGGAUGCUAGCUAGGUAUUACACUGUUGGACUUCUGCUUGUCACUAGGCUUUGGUGGCUGUGACCACGUCCAAACUCUGAGUUUGGGUUUUUAGAAUUAAUGGCAGUCCAGGGGAAUUUCAGUAUGUUUGCUUUUAAAGCAUUCUGCCUGAGGGAGAGUCUGAAACAUCCAAUAGGAGUGAACUGUAUCAUUUAAAAAUAAAAUUCCUCCUUCCUUCAUUAACUGGCCCGAAUAAUGGACUAAAAACUCCUUGCCCAGAACCAGGUCUUGCUAUUUUUUUCACUCUCACAAACAUUUUGAAGUUGGAACCAUUUAUCUUCCAGAAAUGAACACAGGGCUUCCAAGUAGAAGCUCUCCUACUAAUUAGGGACCCCCUUCCAUUUAGUGUGUUUACCAGUGCCUACGGCGCCUUCAGCACCUCAACCAUAAGAAGAUGAUAAAUCUGGCCGACAGUGUUACUGGGACCCCCCAAAAUAUAAAGUUUUGGUUUCCUUCCGGGUUUUCCCAUCAUGUUCUGAUUUUUCAUACUGUCUGUAGGCUCACUCAGCCCGCAGCUUACAUGUGUGCUUUUUUUCUAUGAAAAAUGAUGUAUUUUACUACUUCCUAUGUACAAAAAUUUAUUGUAAAUUUAUGUGUGCUUCGCUUGAACAGGGACCACGUUGCUGUCAUUUCAAUAAAACUGACUUGAUUUCUAAAACGUUUCUGGGACUUAUCAUUUACGGGCACACCUCAACCGUUUGUGUAAUAAAACGUUUAAAAGCUCGUUCCAGGCUGGUUGGAGAAGGAAAUGGC
ensembl:lncRNA